UAACACAUGCAAGUCGAGCGGUAGCACAGAGAGCUUGCUCUCGGGUGACGAGCGGCGGACGGGUGAGUAAUGUCUGGGAAACUGCCUGAUGGAGGGGGAUAACUACUGGAAACGGUAGCUAAUACCGCAUAACGUCGCAAGACCAAAGUGGGGGACCUUCGGGCCUCAUGCCAUCAGAUGUGCCCAGAUGGGAUUAGCUAGUAGGUGGGGUAACGGCUCACCUAGGCGACGAUCCCUAGCUGGUCUGAGAGGAUGACCAGCCACACUGGAACUGAGACACGGUCCAGACUCCUACGGGAGGCAGCAGUGGGGAAUAUUGCACAAUGGGCGCAAGCCUGAUGCAGCCAUGCCGCGUGUGUGAAGAAGGCCUUCGGGUUGUAAAGCACUUUCAGCGGGGAGGAAGGCGUUAAGGUUAAUAACCUUGGCGAUUGACGUUACCCGCAGAAGAAGCACCGGCUAACUCCGUGCCAGCAGCCGCGGUAAUACGGAGGGUGCAAGCGUUAAUCGGAAUUACUGGGCGUAAAGCGCACGCAGGCGGUCUGUCAAGUCGGAUGUGAAAUCCCCGGGCUCAACCUGGGAACUGCAUUCGAAACUGGCAGGCUAGAGUCUUGUAGAGGGGGGUAGAAUUCCAGGUGUAGCGGUGAAAUGCGUAGAGAUCUGGAGGAAUACCGGUGGCGAAGGCGGCCCCCUGGACAAAGACUGACGCUCAGGUGCGAAAGCGUGGGGAGCAAACAGGAUUAGAUACCCUGGUAGUCCACGCCGUAAACGAUGUCGAUUUGGAGGUUGUGCCCUUGAGGCGUGGCUUCCGGAGCUAACGCGUUAAAUCGACCGCCUGGGGAGUACGGCCGCAAGGUUAAAACUCAAAUGAAUUGACGGGGGCCCGCACAAGCGGUGGAGCAUGUGGUUUAAUUCGAUGCAACGCGAAGAACCUUACCUGGUCUUGACAUCCACAGAACUUUCCAGAGAUGGAUUGGUGCCUUCGGGAACUGUGAGACAGGUGCUGCAUGGCUGUCGUCAGCUCGUGUUGUGAAAUGUUGGGUUAAGUCCCGCAACGAGCGCAACCCUUAUCCUUUGUUGCCAGCGGUCCGGCCGGGAACUCAAAGGAGACUGCCAGUGAUAAACUGGAGGAAGGUGGGGAUGACGUCAAGUCAUCAUGGCCCUUACGACCAGGGCUACACACGUGCUACAAUGGCAUAUACAAAGAGAAGCGACCUCGCGAGAGCAAGCGGACCUCAUAAAGUAUGUCGUAGUCCGGAUUGGAGUCUGCAACUCGACUCCAUGAAGUCGGAAUCGCUAGUAAUCGUAGAUCAGAAUGCUACGGUGAAUACGUUCCCGGGCCUUGUACACACCGCCCGUCACACCAUGGGAGUGGGUUGCAAAAGAAGUAGGUAGCUUAACCUUCGGGAGGGCGCUUACCACUUUGUGAUUCAUGACUGGGGUGAAGUCGUAACAAGGUAACCGUAGGGGAACCUGCGGUUGGAUCACCUCCUUACCUUAAAGAA
rnacentral:rRNA from 1 species